rnacentral:rRNA from 1 species
UACGUAGGGUGCAAGCGUUAAUCGGAAUUACUGGGCGUAAAGCGUGCGCAGGCGGUUUUUUAAGUCAGGUGUGAAAUCCCCGGGCUUAACCUGGGAACUGCAUUUGUGACUGCAUCGCUGGAGUGCGGCAGAGGGGGAUGGAAUUCCGCGUGUAGCAGUGAAAUGCGUAGAUAUGCGGAGGAACACCGAUGGCGAAGGCAAUCCCCUGGGCCUGCACUGACGCUCAUGCACGAAAGCGUGGGGAGCAAACAGG